rnacentral:rRNA from 1 species
UACGGGGGGAGCAAGCGUUGUUCGGAUUUACUGGGCGUAAAGGGCGCGUAGGCGGCCUGCGCAAGUCAGUUGUGAAAUCUCCGAGCUUAACUCGGAAAGGUCAACUGAUACUGUCUCGGCUAGAGUGCGGAAGGGGCAACUAGGAAUUCUUGGUGUAGCGGUGAAAUGCGUAGAUAUCAAGAGGAACACCUGCGGCGAAGGCGGGUUGCUGGGCCGACACUGACGCUGAGGCGCGAAAGCUAGGGGAGCGAACGGG